UGCCCCUAUUAGGGGUCCCUGUGCCCCUAUUAGGGGGUUGCCAUGUCCCUAUUGGGCUCCCUGUGUUCCUGUUAAGGCUCCCUGUGUUCCCACUGGGAUCCCUGUGUCCUCAUGGGGGUCCCUGUGCCCCUAUUAGGGGGUUGCCAUGUCCAUACUGGGGGUCCCUGUGUUCCUAUUGGGGUCCCUGUGUUCCUAUUGGGGGUUGCCAUGUCCCUAUUAGGGGUCCCUGUGUCCGUAUUGGGGGUCCCUGUGUCCCUUUGUGAGUCCCCAUGUCCCUGUGAGGGGCUGCUGUGUCCCCACUGGGAUCCCGAUGCCCCUAUCAGGGGUCCUUGUGUCCCUAUUAGGGUCCCCUCUGUCCCUGUUAGGGAUCCCCGUGUCCCUCUGAGGGGUUGUCAUGUUCCCACUGGGGCCCCUGUGUCCUUAUUAGGGGUCCCCAUGUCCCUGUUGGGGGUCCCCGUGCUCCUAUUAGAGAUCCCGAUAUCCCUAUGGGGGGUCUCUGUGCCCCUAUUAGGGGUCCCCAUGUCCCUAUGUGGCUCCCCAUGUCCCUAUGAGAGGUUGCCAUGUCCCUGUGUGGGUCCCUGUGUUCCUAUUGAGGGUCCCUGUGUCCCUAUGUGGGUUUUCGUUUCCCUCUUAGGGGUCCCUGUGUUCCUAUUGGGGGUCCUUGUGUCCUAUUGGGGGUCCCUGUGGCCCUAUGGGUGGUUGCCAUGUCCCCACUGUGGUCCCUGUGGCCCUGCUGGGGGUCCCUGUGUCCCUGUGUGGGUCCCCGUGCCCCUAUUGGGGGUUGCCAUGUCCCCACUGGAGUCCUGUGUCUUUAUGGAGGUCCCUGUGUUCCUAUUGGGGGUCCUUGUGCCCUCAUGGGGGUCCCUGUGUUCCUAUUGGGGGUUGCCAUGUCCCCACUGGGAUCCCUGUACCCCUAUUGGGGGUCCCUAUGUCCCUAUGAGGGUCCUCGUGUCCCUGUGAGGGGUUGCCGUGUCCCAUUUGAGGUCCCUGUGUUCUGUUUGAGGUUCCCAUGGCCCUUUUGGGGUCCUUGUGUUCCUAUUGGGGGUCACUGUGCCCCUUUUAGACAUCCCCAUGUCCCUAUUGAGGUCCCUGUGCCCCUGUUAGGGGUAGCUGUGUCCUUAUUGGGGGUCCCCAUGUCCCUACGAGGGGUUGCUAUAUCCUCACUGGGAUCCCUGUGUUCUUGUUGGGGUCUUCAUGUCCCUUUUGGGUCCCUGUGUCCCUAUGGGGGGUUGCCAUGUCCCUAUUAGGGGUCCCUGUCUUCCUAUUGGGGUUUCCAUGGCCCUUCUGGGGUCCUUAUGUCCCAAUGGAGUCAGUAUGCCCCCAUUAGGGGUCCCCAUGUCCCUUUUUUGCUCCCUAUGCCCUUAUGGGGGUUCCCAGUGUUCCUAUUUUGGUCCCUGUGCUCCUGUGGGUUUCCCUGUGUUCCUAUUAGGGUUUGCCAUGUCACCACUGGGGUCCCUGUGUUCCUAUUGAGGGUCCUCAUGUCCCUUUUGGGUCCCUGUGCUCCUGUUAGGGGUUCCUGUGUCCCUAUGGGGGUCCCCAUGGCCCUAUGAGGGGUUGCCAUGUCCCUAUUAGGGGUCCCCCAUGUCCCUAUUGGAGGUUGACGUGGCCCUUUUGGGGUCCACAUGUCCCUCUUGGGAUUUUUAUGCCCUUAUUAGGGGUCCCCUUGUUCCUGUGGGGGUGCCUGUGUCCCUAUAAGGGGUUCCCAUGUCCCUAUUGGGCCCCCUCUGUCCCUAUUAGGGGUUGCUGUGUUCCCUUUGGGGUCUCCAUGUCCCUGUUGGGGUUCUCAUGUUCCUGUUGUGAUCCCCUAUUAGGAAUUCCUGUGUCCCUAUGUGGGUGCCUGUGCCCCUAUUAGGGGUUGUCAUGUCCCCACUGGGGUCCCUGUUUUUUUCUUGGGGGUCUUCAUGUCCCUUUUGGGGUUCCUUUGCCCCUUCUAGGGGUCCUCAUGUCCCUGUUAGGGGUC
rnacentral:lncRNA from 1 species